rnacentral:rRNA from 1 species
UACGGGGGGGGGCAAGCGUUGUUCGGAAUUACUGGGCGUAAAGCGUGCGCAGGCGGUUUUGUAAGCCAGAUGUGAAAUCCCCGGGCUUAACCUGGGAACUGCGUUUGAAACUACAAGGCUAGAGUGUGGCAGAGGGGGGUGGAAUUCCACGUGUAGCAGUGAAAUGCGUAGAUAUCGGGAGGAACACCAGUGGCGAAGGCGGCUUCCUGGCCUGUUCUUGACGCUGAGGCGGCGAAAGCUAGGGGAGCAAAGCGGGGAUU